AAUCAUUUUCACUCUAAUUAUGGUUUUUCAAAUGCUUAUUUUAAUAAUUUAAAUACAAACCAAUGAUUUUCUUUGCAAUAUUCGCUUCCAUCACGAUUUUCUUAGACGGUAAGAAUAAACCGUUUGCACAAUUUCAAAUCCAACACCGUGUAAACGGCCAUCAACCUGUCAUCGUGGGCACGAUUUUCCCGCAAGCGCUUUGCAUCGUGCCGUGUUUUCCACCGUUCCCACCCGUUUUCCACAGCGUGUUGCGUUCCUGUUGCACCCCAGUCAGCGGUGAUGGUAGCGAUGAUGAUGCUGUAGCGAAGUACCAUUCCCAUCUGCUCCCAACACGCAGUAGUAGUGUGUGCACGAUGUCCUCGGUAGUAACUGCGUUCGUCCGGCAGGUGGUAUAGUAAAUCGAGCAACAAGCAAUAUUAACAACCAUUCAUCAUGAAGUUUGCCGAACAUCUGGCCGCCCACAUUACGCCGGAAUGGCGCAAACAGUACAUACAGUACGAGGAGAUGAAGGCCCAACUGUAUGCGGCCGUCGAACAAUCGCCGUCUGCCGAGCUGGUAGAUCCGGAGGUGUUGACGCGCUACUUUGCCAAAUUCGACGAGCAGUUUUUCCACUACUGUGAUAGUGAGCUGGCCAAAAUCAACACCUUCUAUUCCGAAAAACUCGCCGAAGCUACCCGCAAAUUCGCGAACCUCCGGACCGAGCUGAGCGAAACGCUCGAGAUGGAGGAAAGCACCAAGAUGAAAAAGAAGGACAAUCUGCACAAGAUGAAAAAGAAUUUGCUGCGCAAGAAGAACGUAUCGGUGCGCAAAAUUCAGGAACUGAAGCUUGCAUUUAGUGAAUUCUAUCUGAGCCUCAUACUGCUCCAGAACUACCAGAACCUUAACUUUACCGGCUUCCGGAAGAUACUGAAGAAGCACGAUAAGCUGCUGAACGUCGAUUUCGGUGCACGGUGGCGCGCGGAACACGUGGAGUCGGCCCACUUUUACGUGAACAAGGACAUUGAUCGAUUGAUCCACGAGACGGAAAACAUUGUGACGAACGAGAUCGAGGGCGGCGAUCGGCAGCGGGCUAUGAAGCGACUGCGUGUGCCUCCGCUCGGUGAGCAGCAGAGCCCGUGGACCACGUUUAAGGUGGGCCUAUUUUCCGGCUCGCUCAUGGUGCUGUGUGUGGCCGUCGUCCUGUCGGCGAUGUUCCGGGUGCGACGGGACGAUUGGAUCGUAGCGUUUCGGCUGUUCCGAGGACCGCUGCUAAUCGUGGAGUUUAUGUUCCUGUGGGGCAUCAACGUGUACGGGUGGCGUUCGUCCGGCGUUAAUCACGUGCUCAUCUUCGAGCUGGAUCCCCGCAACCAUCUAUCGGAGCAGCACAUCAUGGAGCUCGCGUCCAUCUUCGGUGUCGUGUGGACAAUGAGUGUGUUGGGCUACCUGUAUGCCGAUGCGCUGGCCAUACCGGCGUACCUAAGCCCACUGAUACUUUACCUACUGAUGGCCGGGUUUCUGCUGAACCCGACCAAAACCUUCCGGCACGAGGCACGCUUCUGGACGCUGCGCAUCUUAAGCCGCAUCGUGCUGGCACCGUUCUUCUACGUAAACUUUGCCGACUUCUGGCUGGCGGAUCAGUUGAACAGCAUUGUGCCGGCGUUUCUCGAUCUGCAGUACUUUAUCUGCUUCUUCUCGACGAUCAGCAACUGGAGCUACGCGGAGGAUCCGAACCAGUGCAUUAACAAUUCGCUCUGGAUAAGGCCGGUGGUGGCGAUGCUUCCGGCCUGGUUCCGGAUGGCACAGUGUUUGAGGCGGUUUCGUGACACGCGCGACGCCCAUCCACAUUUGGCCAAUGCACUGAAGUAUUCGACAUCAUUUUUCGUCGUCAUCUUUUCGUCGAUCACGCAGGCCACCCGGGAUCAGUACGCGAAAAGCUUGGACAAUCCGUGGUUCUAUCUGUGGAUACUGGCCUCGAUUGUGUCGUCGUGCUAUGCGUACACGUGGGACAUUAAGAUGGAUUGGGGGCUGUUCGAUUCCAAGUCGAGUGACAACAAAUUUCUACGCGAUGAAGUCGUCUAUGGUUCGAACUGGUUCUAUUACUUCUCGAUCGUGGAGGAUCUUAUACUGCGCUUCGGAUGGACACUCUCCAUGAGCCUGAUCGAGAUGGGAUACAUCGAUCGGGAGAUAAUUGUAUCGAUUCUCAGCCCGCUGGAGGUAUUUCGGCGCUUCAUCUGGAACUACUUCCGGUUGGAGAACGAGCAUCUCAACAACUGUGGUAAUUUCCGUGCCGUUCGAGACAUUUCCGUUGCACCGAUGGACUGUUCCGAUCAGACCACCAUACUGCGCAUGAUGGACGAGGAGGAUGGCGUCCGCAAUCGACGCACGGUGAAAAAGUUGGCCAACAAGAAAAAGUCCGAACAGCGGCUACUGCUCCGGGAGGCUGAAUCGACGGAAGAUUUAGACAUGUAACGUGGCGCUUCCGUAUUAUGUGUCUUUGCGUUUCACGUGACCUUUCCCUGACGCGGUUGUGCGCAUUGUGUAUCGUUCCCGUUGAUCAUCAUCACAGACAGCCACACGGAUCACCGCACCCCAUCUGUGAGGAUGGGCCCCCAUGCUUGAGGAUGGUUUAUGUUUCCGCAUCAUCGUACGUUCGACCAUUGUCAUACAUCAUCAUGUAGUUUUUCUUAGGAAGGAAUGGAAGCAUCUUAUAUUCCAAGUAAUUGAAGUACUUAGAACUAGCUUAAAGAUGUAUUGCAUUUUUUUUCACAACGCCAUUAUUUUAUGUUAUCACAUCAAAUGUGUAGCGAUCGAUUCACAGAAUGCUUUCUCGUUGUAGUUCGAAACAAUUCAUCAGUAGAUUCGUGCUUUGUAGAUUUUGUAGCGCCAAGUGGAAGAAAUCCCCUCGGAGCUUACAAACAAAAGGUUUAAACAUCAUCACAUCGUUAAAAUCACUUCUUUGUGCCUCUUUUCUCAUGUGAAUGCCAAUCAAAUGUUCGAUCCCCUUAGUACAUCCUGUCGAAUAUAAUCAAGCUGUGUGAAGAACCUGCUGGAUCUAACAUCCGGAAUAAUUAGACCUACCAGUAUCUUUACUUUAGUCUUCUACAACGUACCACUGAUCAACUUUUAUCUUACUUUCUUUGUCUGAAUGUGUGCUUCGUGCUUGGUGUGGUGUGGUCUGUUUCAUGUUCCUCUUCUCAAUCCACAGCAGCGACAGUCCUAAAAGGCGGGUCCAGUGGGAAAUUUAACGAAUUGGCAAACAGGUGUGUGAAGGAUUCGUUUUCCCUGACGCACCUGAACCUAAAAUGAAGGUAUCCGGCGCGAACUCAAUUGGCUGAAACAAUGUUUGAAACUGCACCACGCAAAACUUACACGACAUGCUCUGUACUGCAGAAAGUCGAUUGUUUUUACGACGGUAUAAAUCAAUUACUGCCUGGUGCGAACGAUGUUUGUGGGAAACAGAAGGAAAUAAAAUUGUAACUCAAAAUUUGCAAACCGAUUGAUGAAACGUA